UGUGUCGUCUCGAUCUCAUGGACUCAAUCUCGCGAGACAUCUCGUCCCGUGAAAUUUGUGUCUCGUCCCACCCCUAAUAAAUUAUCACCAUUCUGUCUAAAGCCUGCCCAGUGCUCACCUCCUUGUGAGAGAGAGUGAAGUGUGUUCAACAGCCACAAUGUGUGGUGGGGGGAGAAGUAGAAGGCAGGGCUGCUGCAGCAGCAGAGAGAAUCAAAGCAGUCGCCUUGAUCUCGGUCCCGAUUAUGUCCAGUCGGACCUAGGGGCUUGUUUGGAGGUUUCAUGUGAAUGAAGCGGUCCAGUCCAUUCAGACCAGAUACUGUGGUUCGGCUGUGGGAAGAGCAGGAGAUGGACUGCCUGUGCUGCGGUUCGUGCGUCCUGCAGGUCCUGCUUGUUCAGCUGGGGGCAGCCUUACCCGUCUAUGCUGCUGAGGAAAAGUUUCACCGGUGAUAAAAGGGGAGAUGGAUCGGUUCCAUCACGUCCUGCCAGCGGGCCAUUUUGGUCCCGGGGUUAAUCUGUUGGGAAGACGCGGCUUUGCAUCUUUAAACUUCUUUGAGAGAACUAAAGAUGGCGGACAGGUUGCGUCUAUUUGACUGGCAGGGGAAGUUCCCGUCCCAAGGGUCCGCUUGGACAAUCAGCCGGUGAUUUGAAUCCUUCCUUCGCUGCUCUGGGAAAGGGCCUCACGAGUGCCCUCGUGAGGUGGGACGGUGGUAUUGCAUCAGGGGGUCAACCCCCUGGUGCGUGGAGCUUGAAACUCAGCGCCAUCUUGUCUUUGUUCCUGAGGGAUUUAGGUCUGCACGAGGUGGUCGGGGGGACCACCCCCCACCUCCCUUCUUUGUCUUGAAGGGCCUGUGGCCUUCUCAGGAUUAAGGAUGCCUGGUCAUGUUGGAUUUAAUAUUCCUUGGUGGAAUAUUUCCAUCAAUCCGUCCCCAACAUAGUGGUAGUCUGGCUGGUUGUCAUAUGUAUUGGUGAUGCUGAGGGACCACUGGACAGAGAAGUUUAGAAAGAGAAUACCAUUUGAGUUGCUGCCACCCUUGCCAAACCUUCCAAUCACAUCAUCAUAUGUAUUGUAAUCACUACCAACUCUGGCAUUGAAAUCUCCUAGUAUGAUUAGCCUGUCAGCUUUAGGAACAUCAUCCACAGCUCUGUUCAGCUCCUCAUAGAAGGGUUCUUUGUCUUGAACAGAGUAGGUCAUGGUUGAAGCAUAAACACAGAUUAGCAUGAGAAAGUUCUUGUUGGCAAGUGGCAGGCGUAGACUUAACCUUUCUGACAGGCCUUUGGGCAAGGACGGCAGCUUGACAGUGAGUUUGUUAGAGACAGUAAAUGCAAUGCCAGCCUCUCUUCUCUCACCGGUACUGCCACACCAGAAAAUGGUGUGAGAUUGUUCACGAAUCUAACCCUGGCCUUCAGUUUUUGUCUCCUGCAGUGCUGCAAUGUCGAUUUUGUACCUUUCCAGCUCCUUGCAGAUCAGGGCAGAACGUCUCUCGGGUCUUGUAUCAUUGUCCAGCAUGGUACUGACGUUCCAAGUACCAAUGGACAGCUUCAUCUUCUUAGCUUUCUUUCUACCGCUAGAGUGGAGCUCCAUUGGCCGCGGCAUGCCAACCAGGGUUGAUUAGAUGUUAGAAAAUUAGCAUGUCAGAACAUUAGUAUGUUACCAAAAAGCAUGUUGGCACAUUACCAUUUUAGCAUAUGCAUUUUGGCAAAGCAGCAUAUCAGCAUAUUAGCGUGUCAGUAAAUUAGCAUAUUAGCAUUAGCAUGUUUGCACAUUAACAUGUUAGCAUUAACAUUUAAGCUUAUUAUCUUAUUAGCAUAAGCAUGUCAGAACAUCAGCAUGUUAGCAUUAACAUGUCGGUACAUUAGCAUGUUAGCAUUACAGCACAUUAGCAUGCUAGCAUUAUUAUGUCAGCACAUUAUGGGAUGUCAUAAAUCACACUGUUAUUUUCCAAGAAGUUGAUGGGGCAUUAUAGCAUUAGCCUUCCUCAUGUUAGCAUGUUAGCCAAAAACAAUUAGCACAUUCAAUUCAAUUCAAAGAAGCUUUAUUGACAUGGCAAACAUACAUUCAGAUGGUCUUGGUUCUGGUCCUGGUCCUGGUCUGUCCUCCUGCUCAGGUUCAUGGAGGUUUCAGUUUUUCAGUUCUUUUCCUGUCACAGCCAUGCACAAACCUGACUGCUGUGUUUGCACACUGCUGUACUUCCCCGAGCAGGUAUGGCAGUUUGAGCAUAUCAGGCAUGCUCUGAAAGUCAGUAUGUGUGUUUGUGAUGAGGGGGAAGUAGGUGUCCCUGAGGUCCUGGUACAGGGGGCAGGCGGUCAGGAAGUGCAGCUCGGUCUCCACCUGACCCUGUGUGCAGUGGGGGCACAGUCUGUCCUCUCGGGGGGGUCCAGGUCUGUCUGUGCCGGCCUCUCUCGAUGGCCAGGUUGUGCUCGCUGAGCCUGUACCCGGUCAAGGAUCUUCUGAGCUGUGGGUCCGUCACAGUGCUCAGGUAUUCUGCCACCAUGUAUUUUCUGUUUAGGGCCGAAUAUGUUUCCAGUUUGCUCUGGUGUUUAAUGGAUUCUGUCCAGUGGUUCAGGUAUUUCUCUGGCUGGGGGGGGGGGGGGGGGUUUCCAGCCCUCUGUGGGUGAGGGCUUUGUAGUGGAGAGCGCUGGGCUCUCUCUCUCUCUCUCUCUCUCUCUCUCUCUCUCUCUCUCUCUCUCUCUCUCUCUCUCUCUCGUGUGUGUGUGUGCAUGUGUGUGUGUGUGUGUGUGUGUGUGUUAGAGAUGCGCCGAUCCCGAUACUGGAUCGGGAUCAGGUCUCCGAUCUGUAAUUAAUUAAGUAUCUGACAGUAUCUGUAGGUGGCAUGACGUCGCCGAUCCGAAACAAUCAUAUAAAAAAUAGCUUUGCUGCAUGCUAGUAAUGAGGCCGUCUCCAAACAUUUACGGUAAAUAGGCGGAAGUGAUUUCUUCUUCGUCGCCGUGAACACUGCCGUAAACACUGCGGUAAACAGCCUGACGCGGCAGCGCUGUGGUUUCAUUGGCGGUGAUGCUAAUGCUAAAACUGCGAGCAUGUCCUUAAUCUGGAGGUAUUUUUCACUUGAGACGCCACAAAGUGCCACAGCGAAGUGCAACAUAUGUGCAGCCGAUGUUCCGAGGGGUGGACAAAAACCUUCAACGUUCAACCCCACAAAUUUGGCCAAGCACUUACGGAGACACCAUGCCAAAGAACAUGAGGAGCUGGAGCAAGUGAAACAGCAACAACAACAAGCGCAGCUGAAGAUAACCGAUUCUUUUCAGAAGAGGGAAAAACCUCCCGCAGACAGUCCGAAGGCUCAAAGGAUCACAGAGAAGGUGAUACAAUUCAUUGCACUGGAUGAUCAGCCUCGCUCUGUUAUUGAUAAUGUUGGCUUUCGUAGCCUGAUCGAGCACCUCGAGUCACGGUAUUUGAUCCCCUGUAGGAAAUACCUAACAGAUACUGCUUUGCCAGCACUAUACAAAAGAGUGGCUUCGCAGCUAUCAGGUCAGUUAAAGGAUGUCAAAGCUCUCAGUUUUACUACGGACAUAUGGUCCUCUGAAGUUAGCCCGAUGUCGCGAAUCAGUCUAACUGUACAUUGGCUAAGUGCAGACAAUUAUGCUUUUAACAGCGCGGUGCUGCAAGUUAAACAGUGCAGGGGCUCACACGCCAGCGAGCGGAUUAAAACCACAAUGAGAGAGAUGCUGGACAACUGGAAGAUUCCGCUGUCUAAAGUGCAUGUGAUUCUGAGAGACAAUGCAAGCAAUAUGGAAAGAGCUAUGGAUGAAGUGCCUGUUAACAGUUUAGGCUGUUUGGCACAUUCACUGCAGCUCGUGGUUCAUGAGGGGGUUCUCUCCCAAAAAAGCGUGGUUAAUGCACUCACAAAUGGAAGGAGAAUAGUGACGCAUUUUAAACAUUCACAAGUGGCACAGUCAAAGUUUGAAGAUAUUCAGAAAGAACUGCAGCCAGCAAAACAAACAAAAAGGCUCCAGCAAGAUGUGCUGACGCGAUGGAACAGUUCAUUGUAUGUGAUUCAAAGCCUCCUGGAACACAAGCGAGCCCUGUGCACUUAACCAUGCAGAUAUCGGCCUGCCUACCACACUGUCUGCAAACGAGUGGUCGUUGUUAGAAAAAACUGUGACAGUAUUAGAGCCCUUUGAGGAGAUAACAAAGCUCAUCAGCUCAGCGACCUCAACAGCUGCGGAUGUUAUACUUGCCCUCACUGUACUGAGGCGACUGCUCCAACGUGAAACCAGUGCUGACAGCGGGAUCAAAACCAUGAAACGAACCCUCCUGGAGGCUGUAAACAGAAGGUUCAGCAACACCGAGGACACAGAACCCUACUCUGUAGCCACUUUAGAGGAUCCCCGCUACAAAGACAGGUACUUCACAGGUGCUGUCUCAGCCAAGCUUGCCGAGGAUGCCCUGCUCCGAGAGAUAAGGAAGAUGGAGCGAACACUGAAUGAUGGAGGCGCUUCAGCGACACAGCCAGCAGUUACCGAAGAGGAUACAGCUUCAGCAACAACAGAGCCAGCUGACAAGGUGCGAUGCACUAUGACUCUUGACUUGUAGAUUUUUUUCUUUUCAGCAAAAAACGAGGGGCCCAUCUGUAUUGUUCAUGAAUUAGACUAUUGAAUAAACUGUCUCAGGUUUAAUUGUGUUCUAUGCAACAAAAAAUUGUACUCUUUGAAUCUAGCUGUACAACUGUAUGUUGGUCAAUUAUUUUUUUUCAAAAUGACUGUAUGUAUACUGAGUAAAUGUCAUGCCAAACUCACUGUGGCGAACUUACUAUAGUGACUGACUAUUGAUGAGACAAUACAGUCUGUUUUGUGUUAACCUCAGGGUUAAAAUGUAGCCUGAUAUACUUGAUGUUAACUUUAAAAGAGUCACCGUGAGAUGUGGCUGUUCUUGUUUACAGUGGUUGCUACUUUAUUGUCUUUUAUCUUGCUACAGCUCCUCGUGUUGCUGCUACCUUAAAAUGGACUUUCAAUACUUGAUUUUUUUGAGUUACAUUAAAUUUGAAGAAGCAGCUAGUAUGCACUUUGUGAUUACCACCUUUUUGUAUUUUCCAGUGUUGUCACUGCCAGGCUUUAUAACCUGAAUGUUCAAGCCAAGGUAACAGGACAGUGACUGAUGUCAGUGACAUGGUUUUUCUUUAAUUGUUUAUAGUGGUUACUGCUGCACUAAAACAGACCUACAGUAUUUUAUUUAUUAUGUUUAAUAUAAUUUUAAGGAGCAGCUAUGCACAUUUUUGUAGGUAUACUGUUAUUGCACUUUAAAGAGAUUGCCAAUUGUACUGUUGCCUUUUGUACUGACUGCACUCGUUACUUGAACUAAAGCCUACCCUGCAAUAAAUAAAUGGCUUUAAUUGAAAGGUAAUGCGUUUUUUAUACUUGAAUUUUUUUUGCCAUGUAGCAUACUUAAGUAUCUGGUAUCGGGGAAAGUAUCGGAACACAGCCAAAUUAAUAUAUCGGAUCGGAUCGAAAUUGAAAAAACAUAGAUCGGAGCAUCUCUAUUGUGUGUGUGUGUGUGUGUGUGUGUGUGUGUGUGUGUGUGUGUGUGUGUGGUGAUCCAGAUGACCAGGUUAGCUGCUGACUGGAGGUGCUGUCACCCAGGGCCGGUCCAAGCCCUAGGCGAGCCCGACAAGGGGGCUGGGGGGGGCGAACAAUUCCGAGCGAUUCCGAGCGAUGCCGAGAAGUGCGCUACUCACACGAACCGUCAGAGCGUCGCAGAGCGGGGCUCACACAGACCGUCGGGGCGCCCCUUGCACGGCCACGGCCAUGCCCCCCCCCAUGCAUCAGUUGUUCUUUGAUCCAGAUGUAGUUUGGACAGAGAGUGGACUGAGCUCUGCAGCAUGUUGAUGAGAGCUCUUCUCCUCCUGGAGGCUUCAGCUGUUUGGACUUUACAUUUCUAAACUCUUCCAGUCUGAACCUUCUUCAGCUCUC